rnacentral:tRNA from 5 species
ACAGAAGCCGGGAUAGCUC